rnacentral:rRNA from 1 species
AGGACGAACGCUGGCGGCGUGCUUAACACAUGCAAGUCGAGCGGAAAGGCCCUUCGGGGUACUCGAGCGGCGAACGGGUGAGUAACACGUGAGUAAUCUGCCCCUAGCUCUGGGAUAGCUCCGGGAAACCGGGAUUAAUACCGGAUACAACCACUUUAGACAUCUUUUGUGGUGGAAAGAAUUUUGGCUAGGGAUGAACUCGCGGCCUAUCAGCUUGUUGGUGAGGUAACGGCUCACCAAGGCGACGAUCAGUAGCUGGUCUGAGAGGAUGAUCAGCCACAUUGGGACUGAGACACGGCCCAAACUCCUACGGGAGGCAGCAGUGGGGAAUAUUGGACAAUGGGCGCAAGCCUGAUCCAGCCAUGCCGCGUGAGUGAUGAAGGCCCUAGGGUUGUAAAGCUCUUUUGUGCGGGAAGAUAAUGACGGUACCGCAAGAAUAAGCCCCGGCUAACUUCGUGCCAGCAGCGC